CACGUAGGCGGCCGGUCAAGCAUCCUGUGAAAUCCCUCGGCUUAACUGAGGAAUUGCGGGGUGAACUGAUCGGCUUGAGCUGCACAUGGGCGACUGGAACUCCAGGUGGAGCGGUGAAAUGCGUAGAUAUCUGGAGGAACGCCAGUGGUGAAAACGGGUCGCUGGGUGCAUUCUGACGCUGAGGUGCGAAAGCGUGGGUAGCGAACAGGAUUAGAUACCCUGGUAGUC
rnacentral:rRNA from 1 species